rnacentral:rRNA from 1 species
UACGUAGGUGACAAGCGUUGUCCGGAUUUACUGGGCGUAAAGAGCGCGCAGGCGGUCGAUCAAGUCGAGUGUGAAAGCCCCCGGCUCAACUGGGGAGGGUCAUUCGAAACUGGUCGACUCGAAGGCAGGAGAGGGUAGUGGAAUUCCCGGUGUAGUGGUGAAAUGCGUAGAUAUCGGGAGGAACACCAGUGGCGAAGGCGACUAACUAAGCUUUAACUGACGCUGAUGCACGAAAGUGUGGGGAUCAAACAGG